rnacentral:rRNA from 1 species
GCUAGGAAUAUUGGACAAUGGGCGCAAGCCUGAUCCAGCCAUGCCGCGUGAACGAUGAAGGCCUUCGGGUUGUAAAGUUCUUUAGCCGAUGAUUAUAAUGACUGUAGUCGGAAAAUAAGCCCCGGCUAACUUCGUGCCAGCAGCCGCGGUAAUACGAAGGGGGCGAGCGUUAUUCGGAAUCACUGGGCGUAAAGCGUGCGUAGGCGGUCUCGUAAGUUAGGAGUGAAAGCCCAGGGCUCAACCUUGGAAUUGCUCUUAAAACUGCAAGGCUAGAAUCUCGGAGAGGAUAGCGGAAUUUCCAGUGUAGCAGUGAAAUGCGUAGAUAUUGGAAGGAACACCAGUGGCGUAAGCGGCUAUCUGGACGAGUAUUGACGCUGAGGCACGAAAGCGUGGGGAUCAAACAGGAUUAGAAACCCUUGUAGUCC